GUUAAUCUAUUCAAGCCAAAAGCAGAGUACCAAGAGAGUUAAUCAAUUUAUUAACUUUUCAGAAUGUCUUUCCCUGCACUCGGCAUAAAGUAGCCUUUUAUACAUUGCAGGUUAUUUUGCCAUACAAGGAGUCUACAUAGAAGGUUAUUUUGCUAUACAAGGAGUCUAUAAUAAGAUAAUCUUGAUAGUUAAUAUUAAGAGUCCUAAUUGUAUACAUAUACGGUAACAUCCCCCCUCAAAUUGAUGCUGGUAAGUCAACCAACAACAAUUUGCCAAUAAGAAACUGAUGUCGCUGUCGAGUCAUAGCUUUAGUGAAGACAUCAGCUAUUUGGAGAUCGAAAGAUAUGUGAGGAAGAGAUAUCACCUGAUUUUCCAAGGUGUUGCGAAUAAAAUGACAAUCAACCUCAAUAUGUUUGGUGCGUUCAUGGAAAACAGGAUUGGUGGCAAUCUAAAUAGCACUAGUAUUAUCAGCAUGAAGUGGGUUAGAGGUGACCUGAGGAAACCCAAGCUCUUCGAGAAGACCGCGCAGCCAUACAAUUUCAGAACAAGCAGUAGACAUGGCACGAUACUCAGCCUCAGUGGAGGAUUUAGAAACACGGUCUUGUUUCUUACAUUUCCAAGAAAUUAAGGCAUUACCUAAAAACAUACACCAACCCGUAGUAGAUCGACGUGUAUCCGGACACCCAGCCCAAUCAGCAUCACUAUAGGCAACAAGUUGAAGAGAGGAGCCGGUAGGGAAGAACAACCCACGAUUAGGUGAGCCUCGAAGAUAGCGGAUGAUGCGUCGAACUGCAGCAAGAUGGAGAUGCCGAGGAGAAGACAUAAACUGACUGACCUGAUGGACAACAUAGGAUAUAUCAGGUCGAGUAGUGGUCAAGUAUAUAAGACUUCCAACCAGGCUCCUAUAGAGAGUAGGAUCAUCUAGUAAGUCCCCUUCAUCUUUUCUGUAUUUGACAUUUACUUCCAUAGGAGUAUCAACAUAAGAAGUGUCUUCCAAACCAGCCAAGAUGAUAAGAUCUUGAAUAUACUUAUGCUGAUUCACGAAAAUACCAUUAGGUCGGUGAUGAACUUCUAAUCCUAAGAAGUAUGUGAGCUGGCCAAGAUCUUUCAUAUGGAAAGUUGCAUGUAAUUGCUGCUGAAGCUUAGUAAUCAAACCACAGUCAGUGCCAGUAAUGAUAAUAUCAUCCACAUAAACCAGGAGAAGGACUAUACCUGACACAGAUAUGUGGAAGAAGAGAGAAGGAUCAUACUGACUUUGUAUAAAACUGAAUGAAAGAAUUGUACUGCGAAACUUCUCAAACCAAGCUCGGGGAGCCUGUUUGAGCCCAUACAAAGAACGUCUUAGUUUACAGACAUUGUGAGGAGAAGAAGUAAUCAUACCAGAGGGGAGCUUCAUGUAAAUCUCUUCAUGGAGAUCACCAUGAAGAAAGGCAUUCUUCACAUCCAUUUGAUGCAGUUGCCAUGACUGUGAAGCGACAAUAGCUAAGAUGGUUCGAACUGUGGUCAUUUUAGCAACAGGAGAAAAUGUCUCCUCAUAGUCAACCCCAAAUUCCUGCUUGUUACCCAGAGCUACGAGGCGAGCUUUGUAACGUUCUAAAGACCCAUUAGAACGUAGUUUUACAGAGAAGACCCAUUUACUGCCAAUAGGUUUGACUGUAGAAGGACAAGGAACAAUAUCCCAAGUAUGAUUCUCCUCAAGUGCUUGAAGUUCUGCUUGCAUUGCAUUUUGCCAACAUGUAUGUUUCAUGGCCUGUUUGUAACAAGAGGGAAUGGAAAUAGUGGAUAAAGUAGUGACAAGAGAGACAGGAGUGAAAAAUCCAUACCAAUCAGGGGGUCGAGAAAGACGAGUAGACCGACGAAGAGUGGUAGAAAUAAGAGCAGAAUCAGGCACCGGGUCAAGAUCGGAAAGGGGCACUAGAGAAGUGGAAUCAGACUCAUGUCGACGACGUCUUUCAUAAACAAAACCAGGUCUAAACCUUUCCACCAUUGUUAUGGAAUCAGAAAAACUAGGCAAAAGAGGUAAAGGUGCAGAUGGCAAUUCAACAUGAGAUGGAAAGAAAUAUUGAUUUUCAAAGAAAAUCACAUUCCUAGAAACCCGUAUACGACAAGCAUGAGGAUCAUAACAAACAUAACCCUUUUGAGGGAUAGCAUAACCAAGAAAAACACACUUAACAGAUUGAGCAAUAAGUUUAUGUCGUUCAUGAGCAGGGAGAUGCACAAAACAAACACAACCAAAUGUACGAAGAUCAGAAUAUAAAGGAGAAUGACCAAAUAACUUAAAGAAAGGGGAAACAUUAUUUAAUGUAGGAGAAGGUAAACGAUUAAUCAAAUGAACUGAAGUAGAAAGAGCUUCACACCAAAAACGAGGAGGAACAGAUGAUUCAAGUAAAAGAGUUCUUACUACAUCAAGAAGGUGACAAUUUUUUCUCUCAGCUACACCAUUUUGUUGUGGUGUCGAAGGACAAGAACGUUGAGAGAUGAUUCCUUUGCUUUGAAGAAAGCCUUGAAACUCAUUAGACAUGUAUUCACCACCAGAAUCAGAGCGCAAGACUUUGAUGCUGGCAGAAAAUUGAGUUUCAAGAAGUGCAAAAAAUCGCUUAAAAACCGAAAAAACUUCAGCUUUAGCUCGGAGGAAGUAAACCCACGUAAAACGACUAAAGUCAUCAAUGAAAGUAACAAAGUAUUUGUAAUGAGCAUGAGAAACAACAGGUGCAAUCCCCCAAACAUCACUAUGAAUAAUAUCAAAACAUUUGGAGGCACGAGAUGCAUGAUGAGGAAAAGGUAAAACUUUACUUUUGCCAAGUUUGCAUGAUGUACAAUCAAAAGAAAGAUCAAGAGAAGAACAUGUUUUAUGUCCCAAUAAUCCAGAAUUAAUCAAAGUUCGAAGUACAUCAGAGUUUGGAUGGCCUAAACGUUUAUGCCAUCUCUUAUUUUCAGAACCAAUAAAAUUACAUGCAAAGGAAAGUAAAGGGAAACUAGAAAUACUGGUGGAAUGAGAAAUAUGAAGAGGAAAGAGUCGUCCCACUUUAGGCCCCUUCACGAUCAUCUUCCCUGACGCUUGAUCCUGUACAACACAACCAGAAUAGGAGAAAUGAACAUCACAAUUGUUAUCAACCAAUUGACCAACAGAAAUAAGAUUUGUGGAGAGGUCAGGAGACACAAAAACAUCAGUUAAAGAAGGAGAAAGAUCACCAACAACACUGAUAGGCAGAGAACUGCCAUCAACGGUACUAAUUUUCAGAUUUCCAUCAUAAUUUCUGACAUUAGAAAGAGGAACGGUAGUAUUGGUCAUAUGGUUGGAGGCACCAGAGUCUAAAUACCAUGGCUUAAAAAGAAGUUUAUGAUUACCUGAGAACCCAAGAGCAGAAAGAGCAGAAAUGAUCAUUUGUUGUACCAUUUCAGGAGUAAGUGUAUUCGGGUUUGCUAAGCCUGUAGGAGUAGGAAUAGGAACAACAGGUGAGGCAAUAGGCAAUGCAGCAGAACCAGAGGCACCAAUGGAGGCAUGAUAAGCAGUUCCUUGUUUCCUUUCAGGUCGAAUGGGACAAGCAGAGAUGAUAUGACCAUGUUUCUUACAGUAGUUGCAGAAUUUCUUAGGGCAAUCCCGAGCAAUAUGACCAAAACCUUUACAACUAAAACAUUGGACAACAUGCAUAUUUCUACCUUUAUUUCUCCCCUGUGCUGCAUAAGCCACAGAAACAGGUGCACUAACAUUUGCCCUAUGUUCCAUAGCCGCCUGAGUUAUGAUACGCUGCUCCUCACGAAGAAGUUCACUCAAACAGGCAUCUAAAGAUGGUACAGGAUGCCGAUUCAUCAAAUUAGAGCGUGCAGUUUCAAAAUCAGAACGGAGCUUCAUCAAGAAUUGAUCUCUCUUGCUUGUGUCGUGCAUUGCUUGAACAGCAGAGAGAGCUGCAGUAGGAACAUUAGCAUAAACAAUAUUUGAAUAAUUAGCCCAAAGAUUUUGAAAACCGGAAAAGUAUUCCUCAAUAGAGAGACUUCCUUGUGUGAAGUUAGCCAUCUCAUACUCUAAUUGAAAACGCCGAGCUGUGUUAUCCUGAUUAUAAACCUUAUUUAGAUAAUUCCACAUAGCAGCAGCAGUUUUAUAAGGCCUCAAAUUGAGAACAAGAUGAGGUUCUAUUGAGCUAAGGAUCCAGGUCAUAACGCGAGCAUCCAUGAUUUCCCAUCUAGACAAAGCAUCGACAUCUGUAGGUGCAGGAUUACUCCCAUUAAUAUGCCCCCACAGUUCUUUCCCUUUGACGAAUAAUUGAAAUUGAAACUCCCAAGCAGAAUAAUUUUUCCCAUUAAGACGGAUAUGGAACAAGUCUAGCUUAUCCGAAGACAUGAUAAAGCUGAAAAGAAAUAGAUUUUGAAACUGAAACUGACAGGGAAUUAGUGCAAUGGAAGAGGGAUACACACCAGAUUCUGAAGCCAAGAGUUGCUGAGAAUAGCAGCAAAAAGACUGAUCUGAAACUACUGAGAAUAGCAGCAGAAAACCAAGAUCUGAAACAGCCAAGAGUUGCACUAGAAACCCAAUAUCUGAAACGAAGAAGAAUGAUUCUGAAAAUACCAAGAACACCACGAAAGAAGGAAGAUCUGAAGCUGCCAAGAAUAACAUCAGAAAAGCACGACAGAUUUGCAGAUUUUGAAACCAAGAACUGUGAAGAAUAGCUGCAGAGAAAACAAGAAUAACACAAAGUUGGAAAUUAAGGAUCCAACAACCACUCCUUCUCUCUCGCCUGCACACUUUCCACCAGGAGUAAUAUGAAUAAGAUGGGCCCAAGAUGAGUAAGGCAACUACAGCAAGAGCCAAAGGAAAAUUCAAGACAGAGGCAAGCAAGGAUUUGGAAGAAGCUCUGAUACCAUGUCAAGGAACCAUAUCAACCCAAUAGCUUAAGCUGUUAGGUAAGGUCCCAGGAUAUGAUUUAUAUUAUUCUCUAACACACCCCCUCAAGUGAAAGCCCUUUGAGCUUGAAACUUGCACAGGCCCACAGUACCUUUGUGCUUAAUUUUUAUCAAAUAAAUAGGGAUGGUGAGAUUCGAACUCGAGACCACUUGGUCAUCAAGGCAAGCAAGGAUUUGGAAGAGGCUCUGAUACCAUGUUAAUCUAUUCAAGCCAAAAGCAGAGUACCAAGAGAGUUAAUCAAUUUAUUAACUUUUCAGAAUGUCUUUCCCUGCACUCGGCAUAAAGUAGCCUUUUAUACAUUGCAGGUUAUUUUGCCAUACAAGGAGUCUACAUAGAAGGUUAUUUUGCUAUACAAGGAGUCUAUAAUAAGAUAAUCUUGAUAGUUAAUAUUAAGAGUCCUAAUUGUAUACAUAUACGGUAACAG
rnacentral:lncRNA from 1 species